rnacentral:rRNA from 1 species
CGGACGGGUGAGUAACACGUGGAUAACCUACCUAUAAGACUGGGAUAACUUCGGGAAACCGGAGCUAAUACCGGAUAAUAUAUUGAACCGCAUGGUUCAAUAGUGAAAGACGGUUUUGCUGUCACUUAUAGAUGGAUCCGCGUCGCAUUAGCUAGUUGGUAAGGUAACGGCUUACCAAGGCAGCGAUGCGUAGCCGACCUGAGAGGGUGAUCGGCCACACUGGAACUGAGACACGGUCCAGACUCCUACGGGAGGCAGCAGUC